rnacentral:ncRNA from 1 species
UACCUGGUUGAUUCUGCCAGUAGUCAUAUGCUUGUCUCAAAGAUUAAGCCAUGCAUGUCUAAGUAUAAGCAAUUAUACAGCGAAACUGCGAAUGGCUCAUUAUAUAAGUUAUCGUUUAUUUGAUAGUACCUUACUACUUGGAUAACCGUGGUAAUUCUAGAGCUAAUACAUGCUAAAAAUCCCGACUUCGGAAGGGAUGUAUUUAUUAGAUUAAAAACCAAUGCCCUUCGGGGCUCACUGGUGAUUCAUAAUAACUUCUCGAAUCGCAUGGCCUUGCGCCGGCGAUGGUUCAUUCAAAUUUCUUCCCUAUCAACUUUCGAUGCUAGAGUAGUGUUCUAGCAUGGUUACAACGGGUAACGGAGGGUUAGGGCUCGACCCCGGAGAAGGAGCCUGAGAAACGGCUACUACAUCCAAGGAAGGCAGCAGGCGCGCAAAUUACCCAAUCCCGACACGGGGAGGUAGUGACGAUAAAUACUGAUACAGGGCUCUUUUGGGUCUUGUAAUUGGAAUGAGUACAAUUUAAAUCCCUUAACGAGGAACAAUUGGAGGGCAAGUCUGGUGCCAGCAGCCGCGGUAAUUCCAGCUCCAAUAGCGUAUAUUAAAGUUGUUGUGGUUAAAAAGCUCGUAGUAGAACCUUGGGCCUGGCUGGCCGGUCCGCCUCACCGCGUGCACUGGUCCGGCCGGGCCUUUCCCUCUGUGGAACCGCAUGCCCUUCACUGGGUGUGCCGGGGAAACAGGACUUUUACUUUGAAAAAAUUGAGUGCUCCAGGCAGGCCUAUGCUCGAAUACAUUAGCAUGGAAUAAUAGAAUAGGACGUGUGGUUCUAUUUUGUUGGUUUCUAGGACCGCCGUAAUGAUUAAUAGGGACAGUCGGGGGCAUCAGUAUUCAAUUGUCAGAGGUGAAAUUCUUGGAUUUAUUGAAGACUAACUACUGCGAAAGCAUUUGCCAA